rnacentral:lncRNA from 1 species
ACUAACAACAAACAAAUUUGAUUAUGAAAGAUACAACCAAUAUGUUUCAAGUUACGCAGACUAAAAGGAAACAAAGUUGUAAUUAGCCAUGACUAAAGUGAAAGAAACUAACGAAUAUGCUUCAUGCUACUUUUAGCCCAUAACUCUUUUGACAACCAUAUUCCACAAGAGGAUCAACAAGAAGAUAGCACUACAACAUGUAUGAGGAUCACUUUGACCCCUCAAUAUUCAUAGAGGCAGAACACAAGAAAUCUGAUGUCUAAAUGGGGUCCAUGUCCCUUUUAAUACGGAAUAUCCAUACUAAC